GACGAACGCUGGCGGCGUGCCUAAUACAUGCAAGUAGAACGCUGAAGAGAGGAGCUUGCUCUUCUUGGAUGAGUUGCGAACGGGUGAGUAACGCGUAGGUAACCUGCCUUGUAGCGGGGGAUAACUAUUGGAAACGAUAGCUAAUACCGCAUAACAAUGGAUGACACAUGUCAUUUAUUUGAAAGGGGCAAUUGCUCCACUACAAGGUGGACCUGCGUUGUAUUAGCUAGUAGGUGAGGUAACGGCUCACCUAGGCGACGAUACAUAGCCGACCCGAGAGGGUGAUCGGCCACACUGGGACUGAGACACGGCCCAGACUCCUACGGGAGGCAGCAGUAGGGAAUCUUCGGCAAUGGGGGCAACCCUGACCGAGCAACGCCGCGUGAGUGAAGAAGGUUUUCGGAUCGUAAAGCUCUGUUGUAAGUCAAGAACGAGUGUGAGAGUGGAAAAUUCACACUGUGACGGUAGCUUACCAGAAAGGGACGGCUAACUACGUGCCAGCAGCCGCGGUAAUACGUAGGUCCCGAGCGUUGUCCGGAUUUAUUGGGCGUAAAGCGAGCGCAGGCGGUUUGAUAAGUCUGAAGUUAAAGGCUGUGGCUCAACCAUAGUUCGCUUUGGAAACUGUCAAACUUGAGUGCAGAAGGGGAGAGUGGAAUUCCAUGUGUAGCGGUGAAAUGCGUAGAUAUAUGGAGGAACACCGGUGGCGAAAGCGGCUCUCUGGUCUGUAACUGACGCUGAGGCUCGAAAGCGUGGGGAGCGAACAGGAUUAGAUACCCUGAUAGUCCACGCCGUAAACGAUGAGUGCUAGGUGUUGGAUCCUUUCCGGGAUUCAGUGCCGCAGCUAACGCAUUAAGCACUCCGCCUGGGGAGUACGACCGCAAGGUUGAAACUCAAAGGAAUUGACGGGGGCCCGCACAAGCGGUGGAGCAUGUGGUUUAAUUCGAAGCAACGCGAAGAACCUUACCAGGUCUUGACAUCCCGAUGCUAUUUCUAGAGAUAGAAAGUUACUUCGGUACAUCGGUGACAGGUGGUGCAUGGUUGUCGUCAGCUCGUGUCGUGAGGUGUUGGGUUAAGUCCCGCAACGAGCGCAACCCCUAUUGUUAGUUGCCAUCAUUCAGUUGGGCACUCUAGCGAGACUGCCGGUAAUAAACCGGAGGAAGGUGGGGAUGACGUCAAAUCAUCAUGCCCCUUAUGACCUGGGCUACACACGUGCUACAAUGGUUGGUACAACGAGUUGCGAGUCGGUGACGGCAAGCUAAUCUCUUAAAGCCAAUCUCAGUUCGGAUUGUAGGCUGCAACUCGCCUACAUGAAGUCGGAAUCGCUAGUAAUCGCGGAUCAGCACGCCGCGGUGAAUACGUUCCCGGGCCU
rnacentral:rRNA from 1 species